GAAAGGGUAAGUUAAGUUAAAACUCUGUGAUUCAUGUUCAUAAAAUAUGUGUUUAUACAUUCCUUUCU
rnacentral:tRNA from 1 species